GGGAAGGGAGGGGAAGGCACGUAACCUGCCGCGCUGGCGACCGGCCGUCCCUCGUUGCCUCGGCCCCGGGCCCCCUCCCCGGUCAGCGCCGUUGGGUGGGGCCUGUUGGGGGCCGCCGCCUGGUCCACCUUCCGCAGUCCAGCCCGGCGUGAACACGUGCUCAUCCCCUGGGGAGGCCCGGGGGCCGCCCGGAGGACUGGACGAGCCGGGAAAGGAAGGCCUCCCCGAGAACGGUGCCUUCAGAUGGACCUGGAGAGAGACGGAUUUAGCCAUCCUCUGAGUCUUACGGGUUUUCCAGAUUUCCUUUCAACAUCUCUCAUUUCCAGCCGUCUCUCAAACAUGGAAGUACGUUUCUCAUCGAAAGGUGGUGAUGAAGCGUGAACCCUGCAGUUAGGCAGAUUGUGUAGUUUUGAGUGCAGCUCUGUUCCGAAUCUGUGGGCAUUGGCAAAUGGAACUCACCUGUAAUGAUAGCCGCUUAAAUACAGUUGUGUGAUGAUUAAGUAAUAAAUAAGUGAAUAGCACAGGGCUUUGAAGUUAAAAUCAA